AGAGACUGCAAGCGUUAUUCGGAUUCACUGGGCGUAAAGGGUGCGCAGGCGGCCAUGUGUGUCAGGUGUGAAAGCCCGAGGCUCAACCUCGGAAUUGCGCCUGAAACUACAUGGCUAGAGUACUGGAGAGGGUAGCGGAAUUCAUGGUGUAGCAGUGAAAUGCGUAGAUAUCAUGAGGAACACCAGAGGCGAAGGCGGCUACCUGGACAGUUACUGACGCUCAGGCACGAAAGCGUGGGGAGCAAAAGGGAUUAGAUACCCCUGUAGUCCACGCCCUAAACGGUGCACACUAGGUCUUGGCGGAUUCGACCCCCCCAGGGCCCAAGCUAACGCGUUAAGUGUGCCGCCUGAGGACUACGGCCGCAAGGCUAAA
rnacentral:rRNA from 1 species